rnacentral:rRNA from 1 species
CAGGUCUUUACAUCGUCUGACACUCCUAGAGAUAGGAUUUUCCCGUUCGGGGGACAGAGUGACAGGUGGUGCAUGGUUGUGGUCAGCUCGUGUCGUGAGAUGUUGGGUUAAGUCCCGCAACGAGCGCAACCCUUUAUGUUAGUUGCCAGCAUUCAGUUGGGCACUAUAAGGUGACUGCCGGUGACUAACCGGAGGAAGGUGGGGAUGACGUCAAAUCAUCAUGCCCGUUAUGACAUGGGCUACACACGUGCUACAAUGGAUGGUACAAAGGGAUGCAAGACCGGGAGGUUUAGCCAAUCCUAUAAAACCAUUUUCAGUUCGGAUUGCAGGGCGCAACUCGCCUGCAUGAAGCCGGAAUCGUUAGUAAUCGCGGAUCAGCAUGCCGCGGUGAAUACGUUUCCGGGCCUUGUACACACCGCCCGUCACACCACGAGAGUUUGUAACACCCGAAGUCGGUGGGGUAGCCGUAAGGAGCCAGCCGCCUAAGGUGGGACAGAUGCAUUGGGGUG